rnacentral:RNase_P_RNA from 3 species
UACGUAAACAGGGUAAUCGCUUUUUGUCAGGCAAAAACUUGGCGAAGAGAGGAAAGUCCGGACUCCAAACAGGAUAGGCGCCUUAGGAGAUUUUUCAACUAAGGGAGGAGUAAUCCUACGGAAAGUGCCACAGAAAAUAUACCGCCCAAUUUAUUUUGGGUAAGGGUGAAAACGUGUGGUAAGAGCGCACGGUCAAAUGCAGUGAUGUGUUUGUUACGGUAAACCCAGCCUGGAGCAAGACAAAAUAAGUAGGUCAAAGUUUCCUGUUCUUACUGUUACCUAUGGGUAUGUCGCUUAGAUAGAUGGUUACCACAUUUUGAUCAAACAAAAUGUACAGAAUCCGGCUUACAUGUUUACGUUUUUU